GGAACUGAAUUAAAAAUGAAAGCUGGGAAAUUUCAGGUUUGUGGUUGCCUCCACCCACCUUGCUCGUCUGUUCUGCAGCUGCACGAGAUAGGAGAGGUCGCCCAAGAGGUGCUUUUAAAAUUUACUAAAUAAGAAGUGCAGCCUUCUUAUCUCGCAGGCAGCGUGCGCUCGCUUACGGUGGGGAGAGCAGCUCUAGAGAAUUUCCUCGGGUUUGUGGGUUUCAGCUAGAUCGCUAAUGUUAAUUUAAAAUAGAUCUCUGUGGUUUAGUAGCUCUCCCUUUGCGGUGUGCUUAUCAGAAGAACGCAUUUCUGUCUCUUCAGGAAGACAGAGGAUGGGAAAAAAAGACUGCUCUGAAAAUACUGUGCUGAAAGAGAUGCUGCCUUCUGGGGCAACACAGAGAGCUUGGGACCUGCUCUGCUGUGGGUGUAACGCUCCCGAGAGCCUUCACAGCCAGAGCAGGGGCUCCUCGCUCCUUCCCUUGGGUGGAUUCCAGCUCAGAUAAUUGCCCUCUGCCCACUUAAGUUUCUUCCUGCAGUUUCAACUGAAUGUUAUUUUUUUGCUUCCGCCUUUGAAAAUAAACCUAUAGUUAGCAUAAUUGGCACAGAGGUGGCAGCAGCGGUAGAGAAAGCGAUCUGUGUAUCUACUCGAAGGUGUUAUUUAAUGUAAUUAACCGGAGCGUGGAUCUGCUGCCUCCCGCAAUGGAUUCAGCUCCCAGCUCAGAGCCGGGCUCCGUGCUUCUCGUUUUAAAGCUGGUUCUUCAGGUACUGUAGCACUUACAGGGAGUACAGGUCUGAUCCUGCAGUCUGCUAAGCAGCCUCGGCUCCCAUUGAAAGGAGGGAGAUGCUGAGAUAGUUCAGCAUCUCCCAGGAGCAGGGAUUUGAAUGUGAGACGAGUUAGGAUACGGCUUUGGGAUCGGCAUUUGGUUCGUGACUCUGGGAUUAAGGGCUUAAAAUAAUUCUGCUGUGAACAGGCGUCGAGUUUAGAGCUACCUUAGAGCUAAAUAGCUGAAAAUAUGCCUGACAGCAGGAAUCGGAGCCUUCCUCAAAGUCUGUCUGUUUCAGGGCUUGGCCACAGGUGGAAGCUGUCUGAAAUAACCUCAAUAGCGGUGCGAGCGCAGUCCCUCCUGGCAUGGACAAUAACCCCAGAACGAGCCGUGCUGGACCAGCAGCAGCACUUAGUCACAUCGCGCUUAUUUCCAGAGGAGGCCCCACGUGGCUGAUCAGCCCCGUUGUUUUUCGUUUUCCUUUCCUUCUUGCCUGGUGUGGCAGUGCCACGUGGCUGUAAUUCACCCGCAGCCAGCAGCAAGACGAGCCGAGCUCAGGUCCUGCUGGUAUUAGCACAAAUGAUGUUCUGGUUGAUAAAUCUUCAGAAAGAGGGCUUUAGCUUCCAUCAUUUCCUCUUCAUAGCUUGGGCUGGCUGAAUUAGUUCAAGCCCGUGGUAUACCAAAGGCUGAGAGUGGCUGUUUCUGAAUUGAUUUGCCUAUCUGGAGCAAAAUCUUAAUGUGCCCUUAUUGCUAAAGCAGAGGAAUGUUCCUGCUAAUGACCAGCCUCACGUAAGAGUCAAUGAGAGCGAUACGAGCGAUGGCAGGAAUAUUCUGACUCGAGCAGCCAGCUAAAAAUACACCGAGCGACGUCGGCAGCCUUCCCGGCAGGACCUGCGGAGAGCCAUCGUCGGGAGCUGCCACCCACAGAUCUGCACGGGAAAAAAAGAACUGGAGACCAAGAAGCUAGAAAAUCGGAGAUUGCUUUUGCGUACUGAAAACCCAAAAGCUUCCCAUCCUUGCCUGCAGCCCUGGGCUCUGCUGUCGCCUUCGACUGCUCCUCCCCGUGCCCUCUCCCUGCUGUCGCCCCAUCCCGGCCGCGUUUUGGCUCUCGGAGGAGGUGAGUGCCGGGGCCCUUGCGGCCACCCACGGUCCUCCGGGCCCACGAGGAUUUGGCUUUAUAUAGCACCUGGGAGAUGCAUGUCAGAUAACGCUGGCAGGCUUUCAAAACCUUCUCUGCAGCUUUUGUGCCAAGACCUAUAGGACGUGUUCCAGAGCAUCUCACAGGAAUGUUUGUUAUUAUGGCAGGCCAAAAAAAAAAAAAGGGGGGGGGGGGGGGGAGGCAGUGCAGGAGCACAUCGCUGUUAAUUACCAAAACUCCUUUAAUAACCGACAUUACUAUAAAUGAUGUGUGCGUUAUGGGGAGUACAAUUGAGGGCUCUGUUUUUCUUGCCCCGCGUUGGGGCGUGGAACAAUGUCCCCUUGUUGCCCAGCCUGAGGUGGUGGCACUCCUGGCGAAAUUGGGACUUCUCCAUCACGUACCUGUGCCCACCAUGAAGGCCCCAUUGUUCGUCGUGCCAUCCUGCACCAUGGCUGGGUGGCAUUGGCCACGCAGCGACACGUUGCUGGCUGGAAUAACAGCCUGUCCUCGACCCAAAUGGCGCUGUAUUUAAGAUUUAUAUAGAUUUAAAUGCUGGUAAUUGCACAUUUGUGCCAUUUUAAUUCAGAUGGCUGUUUGUAAUAAGGUAUUGGAGGGAAAAGCGUCAGCUGCUGUCGGGAGACAAACCUUAGGGCCGUGCAGGACCGGUCGGUCCGUGUGGAUUUAAGGUGCUGGAGCCUCUCCGGAGCAGCCCGGGGACGGGCAGGGAUCCGAGAGCCAGGAAAUCCCGAUUUCUGCCUCCACACCUGAAGCCGAGCCCUUUCUGCAGCCGUCCCGUGCCUUUCCGUGUAUCUUCGUCCCACCAGCACGUGGCUGCCCCGGCUGGGUGCUGCCUGGUUCCUGCGCGGAGCGAUGAGCGGCGGUGCCGUGGGGCUGCUGCUGGGGCACCCGCGGGCUUCCAGCGGGGCCGUCACGCGACGUUACCUCCACGCAAAGUCCGUCAGGACAUUUCUGAGGGGGUUAGAAGGUUUGCCAUAAAAAAAAUGGGACUCCACCUGACCCAAAGCUCGCUCUCAGGUGUGCGGGUGCAGCCCGGGCUCGGGAGCACCGCAGGCGCCAGCCUCCAGCUGCAGCAGGAGCUGCCCAAAAAUGCUGAUCAGAAACCUGCCCAAACCGGGAUUUACAAUAUCUUCGUUGACA